GGGUAUACAGAAGAUGCAUGAUUGUUUUACCGUAAUAAAUCACCCCGGUACUUCCAGAUCAGUGUGACCUGUGUUUUUGUCACUAUUGAAAAUCAAGGUUCCAAGCUUGUGAUGCUUUUCACCUUCAGUGCUGAGUCAUACGCAGUGAUAUACUAACUAUACCUGUUAUCUGCUACUGAAUGAUUAUGUGAGCAAAUUCUAAAGUAUAUGAACCAUUUCAGGUUUGUUGGCUGGUUCUGAUUCUGAUUAACAACCUUAAAUAUAGCUCCUAGUAUGUGAGCGAGGGAAUUAACAAAUCUGAGAACUGAACUAUUGUGGAAUCUUCAUCUACAUUUUCAAAUACAGCUCAUGUGGGAGGCUUUUAACAAAGCUACCGGAUCUAAUGUUAAAUCAAAUGCUGGUGAUCAAAGAUUACAGAGACUGAAGUAAAAUUAUUUUAGCGUCAGCAAUGUCUGCAUUGUACCCCGCUGAUCUACUUUCACACUCGGGAACUACUUAUAGCUCCUCUGUUUUGCUUUUAUACAUAAUAAUUAAAGACAGGAUUUUAGUUCAUGCUGGUCAUGUUUGAAACUAUUUCUGUAAUAAUCUCUCCAAAGCAGUUAAUUAAACUGUUGAGAAAUAUAAUUUACGUUCUUUGCAUAACGUGUGCUUUUUGUGUACAACAAAGGGACACAAAUAAGACCUUAGUUUCACAGCAUUUUCAGAUAAUAAUAUUUUGCCUAAGUAAAUACUGGCUAAGAGAACAAGUUUCCUUCCUAUCUGAAGACUGGCGGGAACGGCAGCGAGGGCUAGAUGAUAGUUAUUCAGGAAAAGUAGUUUUUACUCAGAUUAUUCUACUUUUCACUCAGCGUGUAUUUAGUUCCAUAAAAAAUAUGUUUGAAUGAUAAAAACUGUAAAUUUGGUAUAAAAAAUGUAUGUGAAUGAAAAGUUAAACAGACUAAACUUUUAUAAAAAAGAGGAACAACUAUUUUAGCUUUCAUUGCGGUCAUGCUUAGAGGAAAACAAUUUUUAUCAAAAUGAUGGAAAAAGAAAUUUGAAAAGCUGCUUUAGUUACAUAACCCUCAUCAUAACCACUAUUCGUCCAUCUAGUGUCUAGACCCACUGCAGGGUCGUGGAGGGGGCUGGUGCCAAUCUCCAGCAGUCACUGGACCAGAGUUGGGGUGAAAGCGGAGCUGAAACUGGAGAACCAGAGGCUGAAGGAUGAGAACGGGGCUUUAAUCCGUGUCAUCACUAAGCUAUCCAAGUAAAACAGGAAGCAGGCGGGGGCGAGGAAGGGGGAAGACAUAAAGGGCUAUUUUUAUAUCCAUUAAAGGAAUAAGUCAACCUCUGAAGUAACGCAAGAAAAGACUGUAGUUCUGCUCAAAUACCCUUGAUCCCUUCUUGUCAUAUUUGUUGUAUAAAAUAUUAAUAAAGGUGUGUUUAACAUGCUG